GACACACGCAGGUGACCUCAGCACUCGGGAGGGCGAAGCAGGAGGAUCAUGAAGUUCGAGCCCUGCCUGGACAACUAAACCGCUUGGGUUCCCGCAGAAAAUAAGAAACGGCCACUCCACGGCGACUGGGUGAUGGAUGGAUUCCCCUGCUGAGAUUUCCAGGUGGCCCAGUUAAUGAAGACAUGGAAGGGGAGGAGAUUGAGAAAGACCAAGAAGAGGAAAGACAGAGUCAUCCGUAGCCCCGAUCGAUCAGGAGACACGGAAUGCCUAAGAGUUCCUGUCUUAGAACUCAAAGCCCUGAACGGUGGUGACUGUUCCUCCGGAACAAUUGGGCCAGUUGAUGGAGCUCUGAGAUCCAGAGAGGAAAUGCAUUGGAGUUGCCAGUUUUCGGGGAGAGGAAGCCGCCUGUGUUGUAGGACUAUAAGAAAAACAACUAUUUCCAAGAGUGGUUUCCUCCAUCCCUUUUAGAGAGCCUCGCCGCCCAGUGACUGGUUAUGGAAGUAGCUCUGGAAACAGGCACUUGUCGGGCUGAUAAUGACACACGAAGCCAGGCAGCAGGCCGUGUCACGGAUUUUUACCGCUGGCAGAUGUAAAACAGAAGCCUGAUGCAUCUUGUAUAUUUAAUUCUCAAAAUAGCCGAAACUUGGAAGCAACCAAAGACAAUCAAUUAAGAAAAUCACUGUCUAGUUGUAACAGUGGAAAGACGCUCACGGUUAAGGGAAUUCCAGAGGAUAGCCAGCUCUGGGCCAUGUGAUGUUUGAACUUUUGACCAGGCCUGUGAUCAGGUAGGUGUACGUUUUCUGUGACACUAGCUGUACACUGGGGAUCAGUGCAUGUCUGCCUACAUCCUGGGGAUUGAAUCCAGGGCCUUGUGUGAAUUAAAUACAUGUUCUACCUCUGAGCGACACCCC